CAGGACUUUUACCUUGAAAAAAUUAGAGUGUUCAAAGCAGGCUUAUGUCUGAAUACAUUAGCAUGGAAUAAUAGAAUAGGACGGUGGUCCUGUUUUGUUGGUUUCUGAAUCACCGUAAUGAUUAAUAGGGAUAGUUGGGGGCAUUAGUAUUCAAUUGUCAGAGGUGAAAUUCUUGGAUUUAUUGAAGACUAACUUCUGCGAAAGCAUUUGCCAAGGAUGUUUUCAUUAAUCAAGAACGAAAGUUAGGGGAUCGAAGACGAUCAGAUACCGUCGUAGUCUUAACCAUAAACUAUGCCGACUAGGGAUCGGACGAUGUUAAAUUUUAUUGACUCGUUCGGCGCCUUACGGGAAAC
rnacentral:rRNA from 2 species